GGGAAACCCUAGUGGGUACGGCCUCGGCCUCAGACCUACCACCUGAUCCAUGGGGUCGCUGGAGUAAUAGCUCUCCGAAUGUGUACAGCGAAUCCACACAGGAAAUUGGAGAUAGAGGUUUGCCACAGGAUGAGAACCAUUGAUCUAGACCAUCAGACUCACUUCUGCUGCAGAUUAGUACAGAAGCCUUCACAGCUGAUUUCCUGACAUCCCCAGCUGACUUUCUAAGAGCAUUUCUCUACACUAAGACCUUCGCACACGCUCUUCUCGCUUCCCCUACAGUCCUGGUUACCUAUUCUACUUCAGACAUUGGCCACCCUGGCCAGAGCUGAAAUGAAGACUUGGCAGACAGCGGCACAUACACAGAAAUCGGAAUUCUGAUAGCGACUCCGACACCUGCUUACCUUCCAGACCUCUUAUACUCUUUUUUGUAGGACCUUUCUG